AGUUUUUUGGGUUUUUUUCUUCGUCUGUGGUGAUGGGUAACUUCCCAUCCAUUUAGGUAGACUAUUUUUCAAGCUGUGCAGCUCUUCUUCAAGCAAAUGUGCUGAAAAGUGUGUUUAUGUGCACAGUGAUUUGCUGAAAAGAACUUUUCCAAUUCCUGGACAAAAUAUUACUUUUCUUAUUUUUCAACCUGUGUUGUCUUCUGUGUGUUGCUAAAGGAGGGUGACGGUAUUGCUAUGAAAUUACAGCAGAAGUGGUAAACCCUGGAUAUGCACAGUCAAAAUGAUUCUUUAUUAUCUGUAGAAUUCAGCUGAUUGAAAAAUGACCAAAGUGAGCAUACUAAAAUAUUGUUAAAUUUACAGUCUCUAGGUACUGUACAGUAUUACAGAUCCACAGAGCAGCAAGACAGGCACAAGAUGUGAAAUUGAAGAAGAGGGAGGAGCUGCCUGUGCAUUGAAAGGAAUAUAUAUUUUCCCAGUCUCCGGGUUGUCCAAUUACAUAUUGGACAGCCAUUACUUAAUUACAGAGUGGAUCUUGAAUGGAGACCUAGAACGUAAACCCUUCCUUACCUCCUACCUUGGAGUGCAUGAUAGACACAUUCUGCUAGGAAGCUGCAGUCUGCAAAUGGAGAGAACAGAUUCCUCGUAUACUUACACUUGUCCCUUUCCUCUUCCAUUUUGGGUGAUUUGUGCCUCCAGGACAAAUCAACGCCUUUGCUACCUCUAGAUUUCUUUAAUGUGUGAUUGCUACAUGGGGACAUACACCUAAACCAUAGUUCAUGUUCUGAGUAAGUAAUAUUGAUUUCUGCAUCACACUGGGCUACCGAUACAUGUCUUCAUGGAAUCACUGCCAAGAAUUCAGCAAAAGCUGGAAUGCAAUUAGGUUGGUGGCCUCAGAGUUUCCUACUAGUGUUUAUACUUAAUUGAAGGAUACACACUGCACAUGGGACGAAUUUUGUUUGUAAAGAGCUGUUCUAUCCUCCUCAAAAUGAAGAUCAGAUCUAUAAGGUUUUGUUUGACACCAUUUAUUUAUAUAUGAUAUUAAUAUAUGACUCAAAAUGAGGCUGAUUCUGAAGCUAAAAGAAUGUUUAAAAUAAAGUUCAAAACUAAGCAUAUAGAAUACUUAAGAAAUUAAGAUUUAAAAUAAAAAGGAAACUUUUUUUCUUGAAAGACUGUCACUUCCACUUUCAAAUGGUUACAAUAUUUCCAGUGGCCAUCUUUCAGAUUGUCACUCAACAAGGGGAGCUAAAUGGUGCCACAGAUUUUAGGAUCCCUUGAGAUAUAAACAGGAAUGCCAUCUAACAGACUUUAAAAUCAGCUUCUAAUGUAAGUAGACACAUUAUUGAAUGGUUAAUAUGAAAAAUGUACUACAAAUAGUAACUUCAUUUCUUAGCAGAAGUAAAAGCAUUCCAUUAUAAAUGCUACAGAUGCUUCUCUGUUUCAAAAUACAUGCAGCUAACAAUAUACAGCACGGUGGUUGUAUAUGAUAAUUUCUAAGAAAACAAUUUUUUAGGUUCAAGCUGUCAAAAAGUACUAAAAGCCAAUCUUUCAGUUCUGCCUUCUUGCAUGUGGGAGUUGACAUACGUUGAUGUCAAGGGGCUGUGGUUUCAUUCACAGCCUUUAAUUAUCAAAUACUUCUCUGCAGUCCAGGAAGAUAUUUUGUUAUAGCCUAUGGUCAUUUUGUUUGUAGAGUGCUACUUGGGACCAGAGUUUGUCAUAUAAGAUAUAGCAGUGAACCUACAGAAGGCAAAGGAUUGUCGGAAGAUUAAUUGGGAAAAAAAAAUCAAAGUAAUAAAGAGAAUAUAAAAAAAAAAUAAAGGCAAAAUUAAUUCCAUAUUUCCAGUCCUCUUUCAAUGUGAAGAAGCAGCAGAGCUCUUGAAAGGCAAGAAAAAAAUGUGUAGUGAGAAUACUUGUUCUUUCCCAAACUUAGGUUGGAAAAAAACAUGGACCAUUCUUUCUUGGAAGUUUCUUUUCAGAAAUUCCACCAGGAAUAAGAACACUACCCUAGCAAAUAUCCAUAAAGACAUUGGGAUAAUUUCCCUGGGAGGAAACAGUAAUGCAUUGUGGGAGAUGUAGUCCAGGUUAUGAGUCCAAUUCACUAAGGAUAAUGAAAACAUGCAGAACCCCAGUCCCAUGUCCUACCAGGCAUCACACAGCUAUGAAAGACGCAGGGGAAUGUCAAACCAGGCAAAGGCUAAUGUACGCAUCAACUUGAUAAUACAAAAUAUUUUACUUGUGCUAUCUUCAGUUGAAUAUUGAAUUUUCCAGAUAGAAUAUUGAAAAGUGGAAACUAACAUUUCCAUUAAAUCACGUGUAAUUCACAGUCUUUCUCCUAGUUUCAAAUUCAUAUUAUAUUAAAACCAGUUAAAGUUAAAAGAUUUAUCUGUAAUUUAUACUACUGUAAGAUCAGAAUCGGGUACUGCAUGUUACCAUAGAUUAUAUGCCUCUGUACAAACGACAUGUAUGCAUAUACAUAUAUUUUUAAUCGGUUAAUGAAUUCAAGUUGUUAUGAUCUUGUUGUGUCAAUGCCUGCAUUAAAAUGCAGGUCAAGUUAUGAUGUCAAUAGUUAUAAUAUAUACAUACAAAAUACUUAUUUUCAAUUCACUGUUUCUUUAAUUUAAAAAUCUGUUUUGAAACCAGACAACACUAAUUAUUACGAAGUCAUACAUUAAUAUGCUUUGUUUUAAAUAUAUGUAAUUAAAAGUUAAGUCUCUAGAAUUUUUAAGGGCCAAAAUGUGAGGAAUUUUGUUUUAUUUUUUUUUCUACUCCUUAGUGUUUUAUUUACUGUCAGCAAUGCCUUAAGUUUUUUACGAAAAAAAAAAAAAAAAAAAAAGAAAAAUGAUAAUAUCCUAUUGGCUAUGGACUUGUGUAUAA